AUCGACCAACUGGAAACGGUCACCUAAGCGACGAUGCGAUGCAUCAUAUACCCAGUUUGAAUACAAUGUCAUAAAUCACUCCAGUUCGAACCAGCAGCUGUCGAGAACAACGAUUUCACCCCUUAUCUCACCCGCGAAAACCGCCAUAUCAAACCCACAUUUGAACUUCUAAGAGUAUUCUAAUGGCAAUCAACGGAAGAAAACGUGUGAGAGAUCAGACCAGCCAAAGUAGUGGAGCAGCUUGUGCUCAGGAGACAAGGCCUAUACUUGUUGAGCGGGAGAUCAUUUUGGAUGACUUCUGUGAUCUUUCAUGGGAGGGACGGAGCAUACAGUCCAUUAUCACCGAGCAGGGAUGGACACCGAUCUGUCAGCAGUGGGGGAUUGCAUAUCCAUAGAUGAUCGGUGAGUUUUAUCGUGCCAUUGGAGAGGAUGAUGCUGAUGCUCUGUUCUACGCCUUAACAGUUUAGGGAGUGAGUAUUACUCUCUCUCCCAUAAUUGUUGAGUUCCUUGAUAUCCUGCGCGUGGACGGUGCAUUUCCUGCAAUGGCAACACCGGGACCAACGACUGCACCAUCUGAUUCUGACACACCGAUCGCAUCCUCAACACUAGCGUCGAAUGUAGAGCUGGAUGCUAGUUCAGAUGGUAGUGAAGAUGAGGAUCUACCUGAUGAUAGUCUCACAGACGAUCAGGUAUGUCAGCUAGUGCGAGACCUUUCGGCUCCUUAAUAUGAUGGGAGCAAGGUGAUCGAAUAGGCCGAUUAUAUAGAUUUUUCAAAUUGCUUAAUUUGAUUGUUGGCUAUAACAUUGAUCCAAAAAAAUACAAGACUGAUUUCGGGAUCGAUCGAGCCAGAUUCUUGUUGUGGAUAGCACGGGAGGACCUCAUUGAUCUAGCAUUGUAUUUCUUCUUCCUCAUUCGAUCGGAGUCACGCUAUUCCAGUGGACGUACUCUACCAUUUGCACUGCUAAUAUCUAACCACCUACUCCGAUUGGGAGUAACAUUGUCUAUGAUUGAGCGGAGGUAGCCAUAGAUGGAGCCCGUUAACAAUAUCACAUUCAGCAAGAGCAAGGGGUACUUGCGCUAUACUGCACCAAAACAUUCUAGUGGCACGCUGAUCGAUCCAUAUUCUAGUAGUAUUGCCGCUGUUGAAAGACAAUCUCCUGGGGCUACUUUGGAUCAAGUACGAUCUCUGUUUGUGGAGUUCGUUGAGCCCAACAUGAAGAAGCUUAGGGAUUUAGACGGACACAUUAAAAUGUUACCAGAAGAUGUUGAUCUACUUAGCAAAUAGAUUGUUUUAGUUAUUAUUUUACUUUUUUAUGUUGUAUUGAACAUUAUAUA